ACGGUGAACAAUGUAGCCCACAAACCCUAAAACCCUAGACUCUUCUCCAAGUAUUAAGCCUCUAUAAAUUUAUCGACCACAUCUCUAAUUCUAAUAUCUCCAUACCUCAUAAAUCACUGCUUCUUCUUUCAGCUCUUCCGAUCCUCCCAGUAAUUUGAGUAUUUAUGGUGUGAAAUUGUUGCAGUGAUCGGCUUUCGAUUUACGGCGGCAAGGGAUUGAACUAUUGAUAAUAGGACACAUUUGAAGGCUAUAUUUCGGUACUAUAAUGAAGGGGCUCUAUAUAGAAAAGUUGGUUGAGGUUGAAAAUCAUUUUAAAAAUAAUGUGGCUUCAGAAAUUGUGUGGCUUAAUGAAUCAUGAUUUUGCUAUUUUUAUGUGAUUUGGGUUUAAAAUAUUUUCAAUGAAUGAUUCAUUAGGCUCACACAGUUUCCCAAGCAGCAAUAUAUAUCCCAAAUUAUUUUGCUUCAACAAACUUUUUAUUUAUUUAGAGCCCUUUUAUUAUAGUGUUUUGAAUAUAGCCAUAUUGCCUGUUUUUGAGGGUUGAUAGAUUCCAUCAAAUGUACUGUAAGAGAAGUAAAAAUCCUUAUCUUACUUUUUACUGCAUUUUCAGCUUUAUUUUCAAUAUUUUCUCUUUAUUUUGAUUUGAUGAUUUUCUUCAUUUGUUUGCCUACUAAUAUCAGUUCUAGCUUGCAGCACAGGGCAUGGGGUUAAAGUUCAACAAUAUAUGUAGUUUGUUUGAAUCAAUAUUUGUAAACUUUGAAUUAGUAGUUCGAAUUGUUUUACUACUAUUUCUUUAUUCGAGACAAAAAUUAGUCUGGUUCUAGCGAAUUUGUUGUAAAAACUGUGAAAAUAUAUGACGUUCCAUCAUUUAACGA